AAAAGCGGAGGAGAAGAAACUCACAAGGAUUCCCCUAGUAGCGGCGAGCGAAGCGGGAAGAGCUCAAAUUUAUAAUCUGGCACUUUCAGUGUCCGAGUUGUAAUCUCUAGAAGUGUUUUCCGCGUUGGACCGCACACAAGUCUGUUGGAAUACAGCGGCACAGUGGUGACACCCCCGUACACGGUGCGGACGCCCAGCGCUUUGUGAUACACUUUCGAAGAGUCGAGUUGUUUGGGAAUGCAGCUCAAAUUGGGUGGUAAAUUCCAUCUAAAGCUAAAUAUUGGCGAGAGACCGAUAGCGAACAAGUACCGUGAGGGAAAGAUGAAAAGCACUUUGGAAAGAGAGUUAACAGUACGUGAAAUUGUUGGAAGGGAAACGCUUGAAGUCAGACUUGCUUGCCGGAGCUUGCUUCGGUUUGCAGGCCAGCAUCAGUUUUCCGGGGUGGAUAAUGGCGGUUAGAAGGUAGCAGCUUCAGCUGUGUUAUAGCUUUCCGCUGGAUACAUCUUGGGGGACUGAGGAACGCAGCGUGCUUUUAGACGGGGGUUUCGACCUCUUCACGCUUAGGAUGCUGAUUUAUUCAUGUACC
rnacentral:rRNA from 1 species